CAUUGAAAAAAAGAAACUCAAUGCAUAUGUUAUUUGUUAAUGGUUUAUAUUGAGUGUUUAGAUUGAAAUUAUUCAUUAAAACACUAUGCAUGUAGUUUUCAAUUCAAUGGAGAUUUUCGGUAUUUCUUUUGUUUUAGAUUUUUUGUUUAUAUGAAGAACACCAAGAACGCCAUGACGAAGAAGAUGAUGAAUAAUACCGCGUAAAUAUAUACACAAUCUGUGUAUGUGUUUACCCUAAAAAAAUCAAGGAAGAAAACAAUAAUCAACAACUCACGUAAUUCUCUAUGUCCUCAAUCCAAAUGUAUUAAAAGAUCUUGUUCGGUUACUUUUAAUUAGUAGUACUAUAUAAGGGUAUCCCUAUGUAAAUCAUGUGUAUUACCUUAAUUGACAGACAUAACAGGGCAUGUUCCUACUAGCAAAAUUAUUGAUGAAGAUGAUAACCUGUAAUACCCCAAAAAAAUUACCAGCAUGUAUAUAAAUAGUUUUAGGUGCGAAUGAGACCCUUGGUGCAAUUUAGUAUUUCAAUUAGCAUUACCCCAAGUUAUUAUUAGAAAACCUCUUCCUCCUAGUUCUCUGUCAUAUAAGAAUUGGAAUAUUUAUAGGAGGAAAUACACAGUGCUUAGUAUCAUAUCAAUAGAUUUAAUUUGGGAGAAAAUGAAAGAGUUAACAAGUAGUUAUCGAGCGGUAGUAUUUGUUUGAAUUUACUUUUAUCCCCAUGGUAUAAUCAAGUUCUUAUUGUUUAUCAUAGAAUUCACUUGUUUGUGUUCCUUAGGGAUUGAAUAGUGAAAGUCAUUCUGGAUAAGUACAUAAGGAUUUGUUACUACAAGGUUGAGGCAAGUUUGUUCGAUUACUUAGCCUUGAAUACAUGUAGAAGUGGCAGCCGAAUAUCUAGUAUGUAUUCUAUGAGCUUGUGAUUUAAUCAGUGGUGAAGCCAGAGCUUGAAAAUAAGGGGGACUAAAAUAUUUUUACAUAAAUUGUGAAUAUUUUGGUGGACUAAUUAUGAAAUACUUGAUAAAUUCAAAGCUUUUUUUUUCUCCUGGUUUUGCUAAUUUUAAGGGGGGCUAGAGCCAGGGUUAGUCAACCCUUGGAUCCGCCCCUGAAUUCAAUCAAUCUCUUAUUAUUGAUUAAUGGUCAUCUGAUGGGGUAAGUGGAUGUCGUUAUUUUGUUGUGUGAUAUGGCGAAGAUGGUAGUAAUUAUAACUAAAUUCAGUAGAUAUUCGAUAGUCUGCUUCCAUUUCCUAUUGGAGAAAUUUUUGCUCUAGACAAGUUAUUUUAGUCUUGAUCUUAGGUUUAAUUAUUUGGGUACAUGACUAUGUGAGUACUAGCGAUCUAAGGUAUUGGAUAUGUUAGAGCAUUGCUCGGUCGAACUCACAAGUGUUGCUAUCUCAAGCUUGUUGUCAAAUUUAGUUGUCAAAACUAUAUCUUGAUCAUUUCUAGUCUACAAUUAGUUAAGUCUCGAAUUAGGAUAGAAAAUAUAGUUGAGAAAUGGACAUCACAGCAGUCAUCACUACGUUCUAGCGUUUGAAGGCGAAGAUCAACCGAAGCUUUUGGAGAACUUCUUCAACAAAAGGUAAGUGAAUACUGGACCAUCUAUUUCUCAAGUUAUAUUCACCUUUCUAUCUUUGAGACGUUGUCGCGUAGCUAAUUAGACUAUCAUAAGCAUAUCAAGAAUUUUGAGUCAAGAUUCUUCUUAACUACUUUAUGACUACUUUAUGUGAUUUGUUAUUAUUGUGUGAUUCAUCUCAUAAUAAUAUUAUAGAAUUGUUGGUGUGAAUGAUCUUGUCGAGCUAGCUCCAAAAUCUAGAAUACAUAUAUGUGUUCCAUCGCCAAUAAAUGGUCCUUAAGUAUUAUUUAAUUGUCUCUUGUUCUUUAAACAUGUUUAUUCAAGAUAAAAAGAUGUUUCAAUCUUAUGUGAUAAACUAUGAUAAAACCCGUGAGAACGAGUAACCACAAUUGGUAUAAUUAAAAGUUAUUCAAAGUUUGUGUAUUAUAAUUUGGUUCAUAGACCGUGUUAGAGAAGUUCAUUUUUCUUAUUAAGGAUUGACUACAUACCCUUAUCUCCUUAAGAAAAUUCAGUUCCACGGCUCAUGUAACAAGAGGUAUCACCAAGAAGGAUGCAAUAGAAUCCGUCAACGUCUACAUAUGUGAAGGAAUCAAAUCAUCAAGGAACCAAAAGAACAUAUCAACCAGAAAUGCAAAAGGUAUGUCGCGGAUUAGGAUAUAAACGUGUAGUUGAGCAUUGGACUUCACGGCGUUCACCAUUUGAAGAAGAAGAUCUCCUGAAGACUUUGGAGGAACUUCAACGACAAAAGGUAUAGUUAGGAAUCUUGAAGGAGUCUGAUUGAUUCCAGUUUCGGUGGAUAUUCUGAAGAUAUCUAACUGAGGAUGGACAUCUAUAAUUUUUCUAUUACUUGUUUUCGUUAUGCAUUUGUGAUAGUGGGGAUAAUUGAACUUGGCUAAUUCUAAUCAUUUUGUCGUCGGUUAAACAUUAUUUAUUUGUGGAUCCUUUUGAUGUCAUCAGAACACCAUAUGUAUUAA